rnacentral:rRNA from 1 species
UACGAAGGGUGCUAGCGUUGCUCGGAAUUACUGGGCGUAAAGGGCGCGUAGGCGGCUUGCACAGUCAGAUGUGAAAUUCCCGGGCUUAACCUGGGGGCUGCAUUUGAUACGUGUUGUCUUGAGUUCGGAAGAGGGUCGUGGAAUUCCCAGUGUAGAGGUGAAAUUCGUAGAUAUUGGGAAGAACACCGGUGGCGAAGGCGGCGACCUGGUCCGACACUGACGCUGAGGCGCGAAAGCGUGGGGAGCAAACAGG